CACCAGAAUAAAGGUGAGUACUCAUAGAGCAAGUCGAUUAGAGUAACACAAAGACCCUCUCUUUCGUGACGUGGGGAUACUUUAUGGUGAGCGGAUUUGCUGACUGUUAUGUUUUUAAUCACAUAUUUGGAUUUCAUGCAGUAAAAUGCUCAUAACUCCGGCAGUCGGGAAUGAAUCGAAAGGAAAUAGAUACAGUAGUUGCUUUGACAGUGGAAUAUCUGCGUGCACGCUGCAUCUCUUUUAACCAGUAAAAGCUCACUUAACAUAUUAAAGAUCUUUUGACGGAUAUAUAAGGCUUGGAAAUUCCGGCCAUGGAGAAGAUGGAAACUGGAGGAGAGCCUAGGGUGAUAACGUCGCCGUCUCGGACGUACUUCAUAGUUGGUACUUUGCUUCUGAUUGUUGGCGUAGUGGCAUUGAUCUCCUGGUGCGCCUGGGGUAAUCCACAGACAAUCUCAGGAAUCCCAAACAGCCAUGGAGUUGUGUUCGACGCGGGCUCUACGGGAACCCGGAUGUAUGUUUACAGUUGGCCUGGCGGAAAAGUAAACGGCACAGGAAUAGUGAAGGAAACCGCCAAAUGUAGUGAUGGAGUAG